GUCGAACGGUAACAGGUCUUUCGGGAUGCUGACGAGUGGCGGACGGGUGAGGAAUACAUCGGAAUCUGCUCAGUCGUGGGGGAUAACGCAUGGAAACGUGCGCUAAUACCGCAUACGACCUUCGGGUGAAAGCAGGGGAAUCUCUCGGGAUCCUUGCGCGAUUGAAUGAGCCGAUGUCGGAUUAGCUAGUUGGUAGGGUAAAAGCCUACCAAAGCCACGAUCCGUAGCUGGUCUGAGAGGAUGAUCAGCCACACUGGGACUGAGACACGGCCCAGACUCCUGCGGGAGGCAGCAGUGGGGAAUAUUGGACAAUGGGGGCAACCCUGAUCCAGCCAUACCGCGUGGGUGAAGAAGGCCUUCUGGGUUGUAAAGCCCUUUUGUUGGGGAAGAAAAACAACGGGUUAAUACCCCGUUGGUAUGACGGUACCCAAAGAAUAAGCACCGGCUAACUUCGUGCCAGCAGCCGCGGUAAUACGAAGGGUGCAAGCGUUACUCGGAAUUACUGGGCGUAAAGGGUGCGUAGGUGGUUGCGCCAGUCUGUCGUGAAAGCCCUGGGCUUAACCUGGGAAUGGCGAUGGAAACUGUGCAACUAGAGUGUGACAGAGGGUGGUGGAAUUCCUGGUGUAGCAGUGAAAUGCGUAGAGAUCAGGAGGAACAUCCGUGGCGAAGGCGGCCACCUGGACCAGUACUGACGCUGAGGCACGAAAGCGUGGGGAGCAAACAGGAUUAGAUACCCUGGUAGUCCACGCCCUAAACGAUGCGAACUGGAUGUUGGGGGCAUAUUGGCCUUCAGUGUCGAAGCUAACGCGUUAAGUUCGCCGCCU
rnacentral:rRNA from 1 species